GCACGAGGUACUUAGUGGUUGGUGAUUGGGUAAGAAGAUACAUUUUCGGAAGAGAUUCAAGCCGGAUUUGAUGAGUUCAACGCCACAUAGAAGGCGGUGCGCGUGUUCUUCACUCUUUUGCUUGACAUGCUGAGGUUGUUAUGUUUAUGCUUGAAUCAGGUUACAUGCCAUUGUAUUUGUAUCUAUUUUUCAUGAUCAGUUCCUGGAGAAAUACACUAAGAAUCUUUGCAACUGUGAAUGUAUAAACUUGCUCCUUAACAAGUGACU
rnacentral:misc_RNA from 1 species